AGAGUUUGAUCAUGGCUCAGAUUGAACGCUGGCGGCAUGCCUUACACAUGCAAGUCGAACGGCAGCACGAGAGCUUGCUCUUGGUGGCGAGUGGCGAACGGGUGAGUAAUAUAUCGGAACGUACCCUAGAGUGGGGGAUAACGUAGCGAAAGUUACGCUAAUACCGCAUACGAUCUACGGAUGAAAGUGGGGGAUCGCAAGACCUCAUGCUCAUGGAGCGGCCGAUAUCUGAUCAGCUAGUUGGUGGGGUAAAAGCUCACCAAGGCGACGAUCAGUAGCUGGUCUGAGAGGACGACCAGCCACACUGGAACUGAGACACGGUCCAGACUCCUACGGGAGGCAGCAGUGGGGAAUUUUGGACAAUGGGCGCAAGCCUGAUCCAGCAAUGCCGCGUGAGUGAAGAAGGCCUUCGGGUUGUAAAGCUCUUUUGUCAGGGAAGAAACGGUGGACUCUAAUACAGAUCACUAAUGACGGUACCUGAAGAAUAAGCACCGGCUAACUACGUGCCAGCAGCCGCGGUAAUACGUAGGGUGCAAGCGUUAAUCGGAAUUACUGGGCGUAAAGCGUGCGCAGGCGGUUGUGCAAGACAGAUGUGAAAUCCCCGGGCUCAACCUGGGAAUUGCAUUUGUGACUGCACGGCUAGAGUGUGUCAGAGGGGGGUAGAAUUCCACGUGUAGCAGUGAAAUGCGUAGAGAUGUGGAGGAAUACCGAUGGCGAAGGCAGCCCCCUGGGAUAACACUGACGCUCAUGCACGAAAGCGUGGGGAGCAAACAGGAUUAGAUACCCUGGUAGUCCACGCCCUAAACGAUGUCUACUAGUUGUCGGGUCUUAAUUGACUUGGUAACGCAGCUAACGCGUGAAGUAGACCGCCUGGGGAGUACGGUCGCAAGAUUAAAACUCAAAGGAAUUGACGGGGACCCGCACAAGCGGUGGAUGAUGUGGAUUAAUUCGAUGCAACGCGAAAAACCUUACCUACCCUUGACAUGUCUGGAAUCCUUGAGAGAUCAGGGAGUGCUCGGAAGAGAAUCAGAACACAGGUGCUGCAUGGCUGUCGUCAGCUCGUGUCGUGAGAUGUUGGGUUAAGUCCCGCAACGAGCGCAACCCUUGUCAUUAGUUGCUACGAAAGGGCACUCUAAUGAGACUGCCGGUGACAAACCGGAGGAAGGUGGGGAUGACGUCAAGUCCUCAUGGCCCUUAUGGGUAGGGCUUCACACGUCAUACAAUGGUACAUACAGAGGGCCGCCAACCCGCGAGGGGGAGCUAAUCCCAGAAAGUGUAUCGUAGUCCGGAUUGUAGUCUGCAACUCGACUACAUGAAGUUGGAAUCGCUAGUAAUCGCGGAUCAGCAUGUCGCGGUGAAUACGUUCCCGGGUCUUGUACACACCGCCCGUCACACCAUGGGAGCGGGUUUCACCAGAAGUGGGUAGCCUAACCGCAAGGAGGGCGCUCACCACGGUGGGAUUCGUGACUGGGGUGAAGUCGUAACAAGGUA
rnacentral:rRNA from 1 species